rnacentral:tRNA from 1 species
CUUGGCGGUGGCGCGGCGCACUCAUACGAGCGCUGCUCACGCCGGCGUCCGGGCUGAGGCGAUCAGGCGGUCACCGCGCCGUGCCGGGCC